AAAAGAAAAAUCAUAACCCACCUGAACCUGAACGGCUUCCGAGUUUCAUCCCCCAAAUCGAUCGCAGUCCGCCGCCGUCGCCUACCCCUAAACCCUACCCUCCUCCCCCAAUCUCACCGAUUGCCUGCCCAUCUUCUCCGGCGGGUGCCUGCGUGUCCGCCCAGCAAUGGAGGCGAAGAGGGAGAGGGAGAAAUCAACCCUCGCGGCGGCGUCCGCCGCGGCGAUCUCGGUGGUUAUCGGCGAUUGCGACCUCCUCGGCGAGAUCUUCCUCCGCCUCGGGCUCCCCACCGACCUCGUUCGCGCCGCCGCCGUCUGCAGGCGCUGGCUCCGGGCCGCCUCCGACCCUGCCUUCCUCCGCCGCUUCCGCGACGUCCACCCGCCCCGCCUCCUCGGGUUCUACCUCACCACCUUCUCGACCGACCAGAGGUUUCGCGCAGACUUCGUCCCGAUGCUGCCUCAGCGCCCGGAGCUCGCCGCCGUCGUCCGCCGCGGGGGGUUCGAAUUGGACUCCUACGUCAGCCGAUCCACGCGCAUCAUGGACUCCCGUGACUGCAGGGUUGUCGUCAACUUGUUCCGCGACGGCGACUUCACAUACGGAGUGCACAGUCCGCUCCAUCGAGCAAGAGGUUUCGUUACCUUCCCGCGGCUCCCGGCGAUGGAUGACAAGAAAAUCUACAUUUUCCGUGAGAUCCUCUCCAGAGAAUGUGACCAUGGGCGGCUGUCCUACUUCUGGUUUGAAUUGGAUUACAGCGGCAAGGAGAAAGUGACAGCUCGUGUAUAUAAGUUGCAAGAUGAUGCCUGGAGCAUGCAAACUUCGGCUACAACACAGAUUUCUAGAUUUCAUUCAUCGACGUUAAAUGCAUUGAGUACUUUCCUAGUUGAUGACAAGAUCUAUAUGGGGAUCACCGUGCACAACAUUCUUGUGUUGGAUUUGACAUCCUCAACCUUCUCCACAAUCAAGUACCCGGAGACGAUGGCCAUGAAGGGGUUCAAUGGAGAAAUUAUGUUGGCAAGGGCUGAUGGUUCUGGGGUUUGUCUUGUCCAUGUGGACGUGAACGAGAUCCAACUUCACGUUUGGCUUCACAGCGGUUGUGAUGGCAGUGCGGGGGACUGGUUGCUGGUCAAUACUAUUUCUUUGCGUGAUUUGUGCGCUAAUCUGAAGAUAUCAAAUAGCACCACUGAGGAUGAUGAUGAUCCUGAUGUUUUCAUACAUGCGGUUGGGGACAGUGGAGAGUUUGUGUUCUUGCAGAUGUAUGGAUGUGUGCUUUACUUGGAUGUUAGGAGUAGUGCAAUGCAAAAGGUGUAUGGCGUGACAGAUAGGAAUGCACGCAUAUCUUCAACCCAUCCCUUUUUGAUGCCCUGGCCUCCUGUCUUUCCUGUGCUGAAGGAAUGAUCCUGCUGAGUUCUAGGUAAAUGGCACUUCAACAUUCAAAUGGAGAAUUGAUACCUUGAUGCCAAGAAGUAUUCUUCAUCAGCGAGAGAAACAAAGGAUGAGGUCCUGAUCUGUGGCUUUGAGUAGUGUCGAUUGAUAAUUGAUGGCAGUGUCAUUUGGCUGUUAUGUGACAUUAGUACUACAGGCUGUUUGAAACUUUGGAUGUUGAUGGGCAUGAUGGUCAGAACAAAGAAGAACUUUGGCCACUUCUUCGUCUGCCCUAGUCGCCAGGUGAGUCAUUGUUCUGUUUUGCUCUGAUUGCCUCUCUUUAUGUUCGGUUUUGCUUUGAUUGAGCUGCAAUGUCGUGCAGAGGGAUGGAAGUGGAUGUCAGCUUUGGCGCUGGGAUAAUGAGUACGAGAACUAUUUGAUGACCAAGGGACAUGUGCCUGCUACCUACCAGCCAAUUUUUGCCAGCAAUCUCGCACUGGUGCAGGAUGAAAGAAAUGAAGUGGCAUGAAGCGCCAAGCCAAUGCAAGCUGACCUGGAUCAGAUUCUUCAGAAGAUGACCAUUAUGGAAGAAUUAGGAAGGGACAUUGUCACUGUCCAUGCUCAACUUUUGUCACUGUCCACAAAGUCUGAAUCCUCACUAUCAUCAUCACUGCCACUGUCAUUUUCUGCAGGUUGACUCUUCUAUUCUUCAUCAAUCCUGCUUCUCAGGUUUUGGUAGAAUUCUGGGAGUGUCUCAGCUUCCUUCUUUCCAAUAUGUUGUACCUUAACAAGGCUAAAAACCUUGGGAAGUUCUGCUGAGGGGGUUCACAACCACAUCAUCCUAAUUUGCACCACCCAGUGUGUCCUGAUGAUCAAUGUACAUUACUAGAGUUUUUACCCUCCCCA